UGCACCUUUUAGAAUUUCCAGGGCUUACUUAUCCUUUCCUGAAGGUUUUUCUCAUGGGAAAGAAUAGCAUGGUCUAAAAGGAACAUCAGAAAUCAGAAUUUUGUGGUUUGUAGUUUUCUUAAGAAUGAAAGAAUGAAGGGAAACACUAAGCAACAAAUAUGUUAGAAUGCAAACUGACAGGAUGUGUCUGAAAUGUAGAGUAAAAUGGAAUGGGAUGAGAAUCUGAUGGGAAGAUAUAUUUCCAUCUGUAGCUUCUGCCUAUUGUUAUAAUAUUUGAAAUCAAGAAUCUUUGUUUGUUCCAAUAAGCAGCGUUAAGGUCUCAGACUUCACUACACUAGAUAAUGGAAUCUCACCUCAGUAACAGAAGCUGCAAAACCAGCCCAGAUACCAUCCCUGCAAGACAAUGGACAUUGCUGGAGAGUUCAUCACAGGAAUGAGUCAGUCAGAGAGUGGACAGAAUGGAGGGGAGUAUCCCAUUAUAUGAAAUAAAACUUGAAUUGUUAAAUCUCGCCAAGAUUUU